rnacentral:rRNA from 1 species
GAUGAACGCUGGCGGCGUGCUUAACACAUGCAAGUCGAACGAUGAAGCCCAGCUUGCUGGGUGGAUUAGUGGCGAACGGGUGAGUAACACGUGAGUAACCUGCCCUUAACUCUGGGAUAAGCCUGGGAAACUGGGUCUAAUACCGGAUAGGAGCGUCCACCGCAUGGUGGGUGUUGGAAAGAUUUAUCGGUUUUGGAUGGACUCGCGGCCUAUCAGCUUGUUGGUGAGGUAAUGGCUCACCAAGGCGACGACGGGUAGCCGGCCUGAGAGGGUGACCGGCCACACUGGGACUGAGACACGACCCAGACUCCUACGGGAGGCAGCGGUGGGGAAUAUUGCACAAUGGGCGAAAGCCUGAUGCAGCGACGCCGCGUGAGGGAUGACGGCCUUCGGGUUGUAAACCUCUUUCAGUAGGGAAGAAGCGAAAGUGACGGUACCUGCAGAAGAAGCACCGGCUAACUACGUGCCAGCCGCCGCAGUAA